GGAGAGGUGGCCGAGCGGCUUAAGGCAACGGUUUGCUAAACCGUCGUGUGGGUAUACACCCGCACCGGGGGUUCGAAUCCCCCCCUCUCCG
rfam:Thiotrichales bacterium SG8_50 WOR_8-12_4281, whole genome shotgun sequence.